CCACCCCCUGAGGAUAACCUUGCGAAAGUAAGACUAAUACCCAAUGAUAUCUCUAGAAGACAUCUGAAGGAGAUUAAAGAUUUAUCGGUGAUGGAUGGGGAUGCGUCUGAUUAGCUUGUUGGCGGGGUAACGGCCCACCAAGGCGACGAUCAGUAGGGGUUCUGAGAGGAAGGUCCCCCACAUUGGAACUGAGACACGGUCCAAACUCCUACGGGAGGCAGCAGUGAGGAAUAUUGGUCAAUGGGCGAGAGCCUGAACCAGCCAAGUAGUGUGCAGGAUGACGGCCCUAUGGGUUGUAAACUGCUUUUAUAAGGGAAUAAAGUGGGAGUCGUGAGUCCUUUUGCAUGUACCUUAUGAAUAAGGACCGGCUAAUUCCGUGCCAGCAGCCGCGGUAAUACGGAAGGUCCGGGCGUUAUCCGGAUUUAUUGGGUUUAAAGGGAGCGUAGGCCGGAGAUUAAGCGUGUUGUGAAAUGUAGAUGCUCAACGUCUGCACUGCAGCGCGAACUGGUUUCCUUGAGUACGCACAAAGUGGGCGGAAUUCGUGGUGUAGCGGUGAAAUGCUUAGAUAUCACGAAGAACUCCGAUUGCGAAGGCAGCUCACUGGAGCGCAACUGACGCUGAAGCUCGAAAGUGCGGGUAUCGAACAGGAUUAGAUACCCUGGUAGUCCGCACGGUAAACGAUGGAUGCCCGCUGUUGGUCUGAAUAGGUC
rnacentral:rRNA from 1 species